ensembl:snoRNA snoRNA:Psi18S-1389a snoRNA:Psi18S-1389a
GUUGCCGUUCUUGCACUUUAUACUGAAACCCUGCAUUUAAAGAGAUUCCGGCUAAGCGAGUGUGGCACAGAGAAAAUCUUCCUUUGGAAAGUAGACUUUCAGACAUAGUUGAGGCGACAUAACCCACGCCACGAUUGUAUCACUCAAAGUCUAAUAUCU